GGUGAUUUGUGAGACUUGGAUUUGGAACCUGGAUUCCUCCUUAACUAAGGAGGUGGCGAGCCAUCCCAGAACCUGAUCAUCCCCCGGUGGAGGACCGCCCAGUUCUUCAUCUUCCCUUGUGAAACAGAGCUGCGAAGGAGAUCGACCAGACAUUUGUCCCUUAUGUCUGGAUUCUCAUGAAAUGGCAGAAUGAUUACAUUAGCUGGGAUCCACGUGACUUUUGUGGCAUCACAAAUGUUUCUCUACCGACUCAAGUCCUGUGGAAGCCAGACCUCACAAUUGAAGAGAUGUGAGUAUAAAUGUAGAGUACAGUAAUUUGCCUUAAUGGCUUCAAGCGA